rnacentral:lncRNA from 1 species
CCUUCUUCUUCCUUUUUUUUCUCUCUUUAGGAAGAAUUUUUUUUCUCUAAUUUUUUGUUGUAGAACUAGCAAGUGAGCCUCUCUUUGAUGUCUGAGAAUCAGCAGUAAAAGCUUCAUAAAAUCUCUUCAAAAGAGAUUGGGAAGGAAGCCUAGACACAUAGGAUAUGGGGCGUCCAACUCUUGGACACCCCAUCUUUCCUUUUGGCGACAAGAAGAGGGGGGAACACCCAUGUUUUCUUAUGGA